UCGGCCUACGCCCGGAGUCCCGCCACCGUCCUGUGAAGUGCGUGAGCUCACGCACCUCUAGAAGCCUCGCGUCAUUCUUCCCUUGCCGGCACAUGCACCCUUUUUCUGGUGAUUUCUCUGGCCGUCCCUCUGGCCGUCCCUCUGGCCGAUGACCUUUUCUGUCUGGCGCGCCUCUGACCAACGUGUUUCCACACCUGGUUUGCAUAUUUAUUUUUUUGGUACCUUCUGUUGCCCAAUUUCUUGCUUUCUGCCUCAGUACCUAUUCCGUUAAUUGAAAAAUGACUGAUGGAAAGAAGGAAACCUCUGAAACAAAGGCUG
rnacentral:misc_RNA from 1 species